rnacentral:rRNA from 1 species
CGUGUAGGCGGUUCGUUAAGUCGGGUGUGAAAGCCCGGGGCUCAGCUCCGGAAGUGCGCCCGAAACUGGCGAGCUGGAGCGCGGUAGAGGAGGGUGGAAUUCCUGGUGUAGCGGUGAAAUGCGUAGAUAUCAGGAGGAACACCGGCGGCGAAGGCGGCCCUCUGGACCGUUGCUGACGCUGAGACGCGAAAGCGUGGGGAGCAAACAGGAUUAGAUACCCUGGUAGUCCACGCUGUAAACUAUGGGUACUAGGUGUUCGGGGUGUUGACCCCCUGAGUGCCGACGCUAACGCAUUAAGUACCCCGCCUGGGGACUACGGCCGCAAGGUUAAA